rnacentral:tRNA from 1 species
GAGAAAAUAGCUUAGUGGUAGAGUAUUAGCUUGUCAUGCUAAAUGUCGCGGGUUCAAUCCCCGUUUUUCUCG